rnacentral:rRNA from 1 species
UGGGGAAUUUUGGGCAAUGGGCGAAAGCCUGAUCCAGCAAUGCCGCGUGUGUGAAGAAGGCCUUCGGGUUGUAAAGCACUUUUGUCCGGAAAGAAAUCCUUGGCUCUAAUACAGUCGGGGGAUGACGGUACCGGAAGAAUAAGCACCGGCUAACUACGUGCCAGCAGCCGCGGUAAUACGUAGGGUGCAAGCGUUAAUCGGAAUUACUGGGCGUAAAGCGUGCGCAGGCGGUUUGCUAAGACCGAUGUGAAAUCCCCGGGCUCAACCUGGGAACUGCAUUGGUGACUGGCAGGCUAGAGUAUGGCAGAGGGGGGUAGAAUUCCACGUGUAGCAGUGAAAUGCGUAGAGAUGUGGAGGAAUACCGAUGGCGAAGGCAGCCCCCUGGGCCAAUACUGACGCUCAUGCACGAAAGCGUGGGGAGCAAAACAGGAUUAGAUACCCUGGUAGUCCACGCCCUAAACGAUGUCAACUAGUUGUUGGGGAUUCAUUUCCUUAGUAACGUAGCUAACGCGUGAAGUUGACCGCCUGGGGAGUACGGUCGCAAGAUUAAAACUUAAAUGAAUUGACGGGGUCAUAGCUCC